UCCUCCUCCUCCCUGCGUUUUGUGGGAGACCCUGAUUGCAGCUUCGAGGAGAAGCGACGUCGUUUUGGACGGGACACGGGCGCCGGCGGGGGAUUUUGGGAAGUAGAGAGGCGAUUUUCGCGGGUCGGGGGAAUUGGAUAAGGAGAGAAAGCAAACGUUUCGGGCCAAGUUUGAUUUGGGCGGUUUGGGUUGGGUUCGAGUGAGGUGGCAGCGGCGGUGGACGUCGGCGAUGUAGUUGUUGAGGACGAACGGCUCCUGG
rnacentral:lncRNA from 1 species